rnacentral:tRNA from 1 species
AAAUUUAUAUGGCAUAAAUAGAUCUUUGAAUUCUAAGAUUAAGGUUCGAAUCCUUCUUAUUUA